rnacentral:rRNA from 1 species
UGAAUACGAGACGCUAAGGCGUCGAAGUUGUGUAUGUCAUACUUCCAAGAAAAGCUUGCACUGUCAUAAGUAAAAAAUGCCUGUACCAUAACCGACACAGGUGGGUAGGUAGAGUAUACUAAGGGGCGCGAGAUAACUCUCUCUAAGGAACUCGGCAAAAUAACUCCGUAACUUCGGGAGAAGGAGUACCUUAUUCUAUAAGGUUGCAAUAACAAGAUCCAAGCAACUGUUUAUCAAAAACACAGGUCUCCGCUAAGUCGUAAGACGAUGUAUGGGGGCUGACGCCUGCCCAGUGCCAGAAGGUUAAAGAAGUCGGUUAGCAUUAGCGAAGCUGGUAACUGAAGCCCUGGUGAACGGCGGCCGUAACAAUAACGGUCCUAAGGUAGCGAAAUUCCUUGUCGGGUAAGUUCCGACCCGCACGAAAGGCGUAAUGAUUUGGAUACUGUCUCGGAGAGGGGCUCGGUGAAAUAGACUUGUCUGUGAAGAUGCGGACUACCUGCACCAGGACAGAAAGACCCUAUGAAGCUUUACUGUAACUUGAAAUUGAAAUUGGACUUUAUUCGCGCAGUAUAGGUGGGAGGCGUUGAUUAUAAUCUUGCGGGAUUAUUGGAGCCAUCAGUGAGAUACCACUCUUGUAAUGUUAGAUUUCUAACUUUGAAUCAUUAUCUGGUCAAAGGACAGUUUCAGGCGGGCAGUUUGACUGGGGCGGUCGCCUCCCAAACGGUAACGGAGGCGUACAAAGGUUUCCUCUGAACGGGUAGAAAUCGUAUCUAGAGUGUAAAGGCAUAAGGAAGCUUGACUGUGAGACCUACAAGUCGAACAGGGACGAAAGUCGGUCUUAGUGAUCUGACGGUACUGAGUGGAAAGGCCGUCACUCAACGGAUAAAAGUUACUCUAAGGAUAACAGGCUGAUCUCCCCCAAGAGUUCACAUCGACGGGGAGGUUUGGCACCUCGAUGUCGGCUCAUCGCAUCCUGGGGCGGUAGUACGUACCAAGGGUUGGGCUGUUCGCCCAUGAAAGCGGUACGCGAGCUGGGUUCAGAACGUCGUGAGACAGUUCGGUCCAUAUCCGGUGUAGGCGUUAGAAUAUUGAGAGGAGCCUUCUUUAGUACGAGAGGACCGAGAAGGACAUACCUCUGGUGUACCAGUUAUCGUGCCAACGGUAAACGCUGGGUAGCUAUGUAUGGAGUGGAUAACCGCUGAAAGCAUCUAAGUGGGAAGCCCACCUCAAGAUAAG